GAUGAACGCUAGCGAUAGGCCUAACACAUGCAAGUCGAGGGGCAUCACAUGAAGUAGCAAUACGGAUGGUGGCGACCGGCGCACGGGUGAGUAACACGUAUGCAACCUGCCUUCAACAAGGGGAUAACCCGUUGAAAGACGGACUAAUACCCUAUAACACAGGGGUCCCGCAUGGGAAUAUUUGUUAAAGGACAACCGGUUGAAGAUGGGCAUGCGUUCCAUUAGCUAGUUGGCGGGGUAACGGCCCACCAAGGCAACGAUGGAUAGGGGAACUGAGAGGUUUAUCCCCCACACUGGUACUGAGACACGGACCAGACUCCUACGGGAGGCAGCAGUGAGGAAUAUUGGUCAAUGGACGCAAGUCUGAACCAGCCACGUCGCGUGAAGGAAGACGGCCCUACGGGUUGUAAACUUC
rnacentral:rRNA from 1 species